ACUCCUACGGGAGGCAGCAGUGGGGAAUAUUGCACAAUGGGCGCAAGCCUGAUGCAGCCAUGCCGCGUGUGUGAAGAAGGCCUUCGGGUUGUAAAGCACUUUCAGUUGUGAGGAAGGUGGUGUCGUUAAUAGCGGCAUCAUUUGACGUUAGCUGCAGAAGAAGCACCGGCUAACUCCGUGCCAGCAGCCGCGGUAAUACGGAGGGUCAGCGUUGUCCGGAUUUAUUGGGUUUAAAGGGUGCGUAGGCGGCCCUAUAAGUCAGUGGUGAAAUCCUUCAGUUCAACUGGAGAACUGCCAUUGAUACUGUAGGGCUUGAGUACAGACGAGGUAGGCGGAAUUUAUGGUGUAGCGGUGAAAUGCAUAGAUACCAUAAAGAACACCUAUUGCGAAGGCAGCUUACUAGACUGUAACUGACGCUGAGGCACGAAAGCGUGGGGAGCGAACAGGAUUAGAUACCCUGGUAGGCUCUG
rnacentral:rRNA from 1 species